rnacentral:rRNA from 1 species
UACGUAGGUGGCAAGCGUUGUCCGGAUUUAUUGGGCGUAAAGGGAGCGCAGGCGGUGACUUAAGUCUGAUGUGAAAGCCCACGGCUCAACCGUGGAAGGUCAUUGGAAACUGGUCGACUUGAGUGCAGAAGAGGGAAGUGGAAUUCCAUGUGUAGCGGUGAAAUGCGUAGAGAUAUGGAGGAACACCAGUGGCGAAGGCGGCUUCCUGGUCUGUAGCUGACACUGAGGCGCGAAAGCGUGGGGAGCAAACAGGAUUAGAUA